UUAACUCGGAUUUGUGUAGAGUUGGAACGUUGGCCUACGUUUGCCGCUAGGGGCGUUGUUCUAACUGCAUACGAAUUUGAGUUA
rnacentral:pre_miRNA from 1 species